rnacentral:rRNA from 1 species
UACAGAGGGUGCGAGCGUUGUUCGGAAUUAUUGGGCGUAAAGGGCGCGUAGGCGGUGCGGUAAGUCACCUGUGAAAUCUCCUGGCUCAACUGGGAGCUUGCAGGCGAAACUGCCGUGCUGGAGUGUGGGAGAGGUGAGUGGAAUUCCCGGUGUAGCGGUGAGAUGCGUAGAUAUCGGGAGGAACACCUGUGGCGAAAGCGGCUCACUGGACCACAACUGACGCUGAGGCGCGAAAGCUAGGGGAGCAAACAGG